CCAACUCAUCACUCAGGUUAUUUAAUUUCUCCAGAUAGGAGGAACAGAUUUUCACGAGAAUAUUUGUGUUUCCUUCCUGAGCCACCAGGUGGCACAUGACACCUGCUUCACAGCUGCUCAUGUUCUGAUUAGGAAACAUUUGUGUACCCAGUUCCAUGAUACAAUUUCCAGUGGCCCUGGUGGUUUCCCUUUUCUGAAUGUAGUUUCCCAUUGAUAUCCAUCGGGGAUUGGUUCUAGGAAUCCCUUCAUAUAAAAAACUCUGUACAUGGUAGAUAGUAUUUGCAGUAGGACCUACAGACAUCUUUCAAUAGACAUUAACAAUAUCUCUACAGUGUUUAUGAAAUCCUAUAUAAUGUGACUGCUAUUGAAAUGGAUUACAGAUGGAAUUUUGGGGGACUAUAUUCAGUGUGAGGUUGGUUGAAUACACAGAUGGCCCUCACAGGUAGAGGGGCUGAGUGUAUUAUAUAUUCUUAUCCAAGGGGCUGGACAGAUGGCUCAGUGGUUAAGACUGCUCUUCCAGAGGUCCUGAGUUCAAUUCCCAGAAACUGCAUAGUCGCUCACAACCAUCUGAAAUGGGAUCUGAUGCCUUCUUCUGGUGUGUCUGGAGACAGCUACAAUGUACUUAUAAA
rnacentral:lncRNA from 1 species